UACGUAGGGGCCGAGCGUUGUCCGGAGUUAUUGGGCGUAAAGCGCGCGCAGGCGGCCUCGCGCGCCCGACGUGAAAGCCCCCGGCUUAACCGGGGAGGGUCGUUGGGGACGGCGGGGCUUGAGGGCGGGAGAGGUCGGUGGAAUUCCCGGUGUAGUGGUGAAAUGCGUAGAUAUCGGAAGGAACAUCAGUGGCGAAAGCGGCCUCCUGGACCAGUACCGACGUUCAGGCACGAAAGCGUGGGGAGCAAACAGG
rnacentral:rRNA from 1 species